GACGAACGCUGGCGGCGUGCCUAAUACAUGCAAGUAGAACGCUGAAGGAGGAGCUUGCUUCUCUGGAUGAGUUGCGAACGGGUGAGUAACGCGUAGGUAACCUGCCUGGUAGCGGGGGAUAACUAUUGGAAACGAUAGCUAAUACCGCAUAACAGUAGAUAUCGCAUGAUAUCUACUUGAAAGGUGCAAUUGCAUCACUACCAGAUGGACCUGCGUUGUAUUAGCUAGUUGGUGAGGUAACGGCUCACCAAGGCGACGAUACAUAGCCGACCUGAGAGGGUGAUCGGCCACCCUGGGACUGAGACACGGCCCAGACUCCUACGGGAGGCAGCAGUAGGGAAUCUUCGGCAAUGGACGGAAGUCUGACCGAGCAACGCCGCGUGAGUGAAGAAGGUUUUCGGAUCGGAAAGCUCUGUUGUAAGAGAAGAAAGAGUGUGAGAGUGGAAAGUUCACACUGUGACGGUAUCUUACCAGAAAGGGACGGCUAACUACGUG
rnacentral:rRNA from 1 species